rnacentral:lncRNA from 1 species
GAGCUAGCAAGCCAGUGAGCAGCCCCCAUCCAUGGCCUCUGUAUCAGCUCCUGCCUCCAGGUUCCUGCCCUGACUUUCUUCAACGAUGGACUAAGAUGUGGGAGUAUAAGCCAACUGUCUCCCAGAAAUAACCCUCUUCUCCAGUGAAGCUGGUACCCUCCUGGUCAGUUGCCUUUUUCUGACCUUGUGACCUGGGAAAAUAACGGAAUGAAAUAGAUGCUUGUUUGGCUUAUGGUUUCAGAGAUUUCAGGCAACAGCUGCCUGCAUCUGUGAUUCUGGGGCCAUAGUGAGAGAGGAAAGAGUCUCAUUUGGUGACAGCCAGGAACCAGAGAGAAGGGCAUAGAGGAACUGGCUGGAGGCAAAACAUAUCCCCAGUGGCCUUCUUUCUAUAACCCAACACAAUUCCCAAUGGUCCACUUAGCUCUGAAUUCAUCAGUGAUGGUAUCCACUGAAGAAGAUCUUCAUGACUCAGUCAUACUCAUUAGCAGCACCAGCUGGGAGCCAAGCCCUCAAAUCAGGAGCCUUUGAGAACCAUCAUUUUACAUCCAGACAAGGACACCUGCUAUGUUACCAGCGGCCUUUGGCUUGUAGGAUUGUUCUCUCUGAAGGUCCACAGACUCAAGCAAAGUUCCAGUUGUUGCAGAAAACUCACCAUCUCGUUGAUUCAACGCUACUGUCUCCUGAACUCCACCAGAGUGGCUCACUUGGGGAUAGUGUGUGCCUUGGCCCUGGUCUCUUCUUUCUAUAACAAACUUCCAAUGUAAUAGCAUGCGUGAAAAUUAGGGUACGGAAAAGGAGUUCAUGUGAAACAUCACUGUAUCUUGUACCGUGUAUACAUAUCAUUGUGGCUUGAGAGGCAUCAAUCAUUGGGGGUCAGUCCUUCCUAUGUAGACUGGUUACUGUGUUGCUCCUUUCUGCUGAGUUCUAACAGGUCUUUGAGUCAUUGUAGCAAGCCAGAAGUGCUAGUAUACUGAGGUCCAUCGGAAUAUGCUGUGUUUGCCAUCUUUUUCAGUGAUAUGCCCAAUUACCUAAAAAGAAGCAACUUAAGGGAGGAAGUGAUAUGGCCCGUAUAGCCCUGACUAGGGGGGGGGGCACACAGACACAUGUACGGAAAAGUUGGGGUCAGGUGGGGUACAGCAACCAGGAACCUCUGCAUGUGCAGCACAGGAGGGGUUGGUCUCCCCUAGUCUUAGUCAGGGGUUUCUGUAGGUGAGCAGGCCAGGCUGGAAGAGAGAUCUGCAGAGGACCCUGAUUCUGCUCCCAGCACCCACAGGGCAGCUUAUAACUGUCUGUAAUCCAGGGAAUCUAACACCCUCUUCUGACCUCUAUAGGUAAUGCACACAUGUGGUAGUCAUACAUAAUGCAGGCAGAUACUCAUAUACAUAAAGUAAAAAUAACUAAUUUUUUAAAAAAAAUUAUUUUCCCAUCCUUCCAGGUUUGACCAUUUAAAUGUUUUAGUUCAUAUAAUUUUACUUUUAAAAAAAAUCUACUUUUAAUACAUGUGUGUAUUCAAAUAAUACUGUAUUAUAUAUUCUGGUUUGUAGCAUAUAUUUUUCUUUCUUUUCUUUUCUUUUCUUUUCUUUUUUUUGUUUUUGUUUUUGUUUUUGUUUUUGUUUUUUUUUUGAGACAGGGUUUCUCUGUGUAGCCCUGGCUGUCCUGGAACUCACUCUGUAGACCAGGCUGGCCUCAAACUCAGAGAUCCACCUGCCUCUGCAUCCCGAGUACUGGGAUUGAAGGCGUGUGCCACCACGCCUGGCUUAUUUUUCUCUUAAAAUAUACCAUGAUUCGCUAUUUAUUGCCAAUAAAGUCAUUUUCUGCCACCUACUUUCUCCCUGAAGAAUGAUGAACUCAUUUUGGCUCCUGCUUUGAGAGGUUACAGUCCAUUGUGGUAGAGAACGUAUGGCAAGGGGAAGCUUCACCUUGGUGGAAUCAUGGAGCAAUUUGCUUACAUUUCAACAGACCAGGAGCGGAGAGCGAGCUUGGAUUAGAUCCCCCUCAGCCCCACCUCUGUGUCUCUCCAUCUGCCAAUUAGGCCCCCUAUCCUGGAAGAUCUACAACCUCCAAAAAUGAUACCACUAACUGGGAAGUACAUGUUCAACCACUUGAGCCCAAAGGAGACAUUUCAUACUCAAACUGUAGCAUUCUAUUGUUGGCAGACAUAGGCCCAGGGCCAUCUCAAAGCACAUUCCAACUGUAAAAGUCCCCACAGUAGGAAAGUUCCAAUAUGACUUAAAAGUCUAUAGUUUAAAGUUGACUCUAAGACUCAAGGGAAUCUCUUAACCGGGAGCCUCUUUUUGUUUUCAAGCAAAGAAAACAUAAGCCAAACCAGUUAUAUGCUUCCAACAUAAAAUGAUGAGAGUGAACACUCCCAGUCUAAAAGACUGGCAUAGCAAGAAACUCAGCAGGGAGACAGACAGCCCCGAAGCUCCAUGCCUAGCACCUAGCGCUAGACUGGCAUAGCAAGAAACUCAGCAGGGAGACAGACAGCCCCGAAGCUCCAUGCCUAGCACCUAGCGCUGUGAUAACAUCACUGUACCUGGACAGUUUGAGGCAGCUGCUACCCUCUAGCUUUGCUGCCUGUGGCACAUACGUCAUUUCCUUUGGGUCAUCUGUACUUGGCACCUGCAGCUUUUCUCAGUGUAUGUCUACGUACCUGUCAUCUCCAUAGCGACUUAGACUCAGCUUCAUUGUCUCACAGGGAGACCCCUCAGGAGCUCUCUUCAGGGAAUCUGACCCUAUCACACACCUCCUGGCCUCAGAGGACUUCAGAGGGCCACAUUGCAAGCUGACUCCAACACUCUCACAUCCUGUAUACCUGCAAACACGCGUUGUCACACGGCUAAGCUCUGCUGUCUUCUAGAGAUAUAGCCUGGGCUCCAUUAGACCACAGCUAUGGUAGCUUCUGACUCAAUCUGGGAUAGCAAUUUCCUGGGAGGCUGUUCUUGAGUAGGAGUCUGGCCUAACACUCUCUGUGCAAGCAUUCUUCCUUUUCAGUGAAUUUGCAUCUUUAAAAUCUGGCUUUCUUGGUGAGUUGAGUAUUUUUCCCAAGGCACCCUCCCUAUUGUCCCAGUGCAUCUACUCGGUUUUCCUUUGUUGACACCAGACAACUAUCAUCCAUUUGUCGGUUACUUUGCCAGGAUUCGCAUUCCGGUGAACGUGCCAGCCUCUGUUCUCCAUAUUUUCCUGCUCUUUAUUUUGAUCUUAAUUCUCACUGUAAACCUCAUUAAACUCGGCAAACAAU